AAAAAAAAAAAAAGGAAAAAGAACACAAAACUAUAAUUGUUACUCAGAUUCCAUUUCAAAGAAAAUCUUCAUGCCAGCACUUUGUUCAACAUAUCUCAGCCACAAGGCAAAUAUAUGCUGACUAAAUUUUACUUUCAAGGUGUGGUUGAGAGAUAGGUGGUGGUUGAGAAACCUCCUAAAAAGAUCCAUAUACACUGGGGUGAAUUCAUCUUUGUCCAAGAAUGUAAGCAUUGUACCAAAUGUAACCUAAUGUAACGAGACACUCUGAGCCUUGCUGGAUGGUUUAACUAGACAAGUGUUCUGGGAAGCCACAUAAUGACAACCAAAUACAGAACCAAACCAUGCACUUUUUGGGAGUUUUCAGAUUUUGUUUUUGUUUUUUUCUUCUGUUAGGGAGCAGAAGCCUCUCUAGUAGAACUCUCCAAUGGAUUCUGUCAAACCUUUCAAUACAACUACAGCAUAUAUUUUCUGCCUGACAACUCAAUGCUGAACUCGCAUUAAGAUGACUGAGAGUGGAAUAUCCAUUCCUUCCAGGAAAAGAUGACCCCAUAAUCAGAGAUGUGGUUUGAUCUUCUGCAAUGCCAACAAUCAGACUUCAUAUUCACUCCCCAACAUCUGAGUCAUAACUUUGAGAAUAUAA